AGUGAACGCUGGCGGUAGGCCUAACACAUGCAAGUCGAACGGCAGCACAGUAAGAGCUUGCUCUUACGGGUGGCGAGUGGCGGACGGGUGAGGAAUACAUCGGAAUCUACUUUUUCGUGGGGGAUAACGUAGGGAAACUUACGCUAAUACCGCAUACGACCUACGGGUGAAAGCAGGGGAUCUUCGGACCUUGCGCGAUUGAAUGAGCCGAUGUCGGAUUAGCUAGUUGGCGGGGUAAAGGCCCACCAAGGCGACGAUCCGUAGCUGGUCUGAGAGGAUGAUCAGCCACACUGGAACUGAGACACGGUCCAGACUCCUACGGGAGGCAGCAGUGGGGAAUAUUGGACAAAGGGCGCAAGCCUGAUCCAGCCAUGCCGCGUGGGUGAAGAAGGCCUUCGGGUUGUAAAGCCCCUUUGUUGGGAAAGAAAAGCAGCAGGUUAAUACCCCGCUGUUCUGACGGUACCCAAAGAAUAAGCACCGGCUAACUUCGUG
rnacentral:rRNA from 1 species